rnacentral:lncRNA from 1 species
GCAUCAUUAGAGUUUGGGUCGCCUAAUUAAUGCUAAUGUGCCAGCCACAAAAAGCUUCCCCCCUUACCCUUUUCCCACAUAAUGUUUAUAUUUAUACUAAUCACAAUAUUAACAUUAAUUAAUCACAAUAUUACCAUGCAGGGAGCAAAGCUUAAUGGGAGGGAGCAAAGGGGCCGGCCACCGCAAAUGGAAAACAUGAUAAGUUUAUAUCCGCAAGUAGAAAAGCAAAUUACCCCUUUCUAGUUGGCUGGAAGCGCUUGCACUAAUGGAAGGAACACAUACAUGAUAAGCUUUAAUAAAUGUUGACCAAUAGCCUCUCAAUAAUAUUCUCUCCUGCAGUUCCCUGUCAAAAUCAAUUAUUUAUUCUUGAGCAAUGCUAGGAACAUCAUGUUUUUUUUUAUAUUAAAAAAACCAUAUUAUAACAAUUCUGAUGAAUACUCUCAUGUUUUCCUAAGCAAAGUCUCAUAAUUUUCUUAUACUUUGGUACCUUUUAUCUCUUAGCGGUGUUCAAGUUCAAGCGAUGCACACACUGGUUAAAUUUGAACACCUCUGUGUCGAACGUAUUGAGCUUCACUAACAACAACCGCCCACAGAGUGCCAUUGGUUUUGUAUUCAAUCAUUUUUUGUUCUCUUCUUACAAUCAUUUGAUAUGUAAAAAUAUUAAAAUAAGAAAUAAAUUUUACAAUGAAAGAAAGAAAAUUGUCCAUCACCAUUAUUUUUGUUUGGAAAGUAGAAUCAUCUUCGCUUUUCACCAAUGGACAACAAGAUUGGCAACAAAACCCCGUUGUAUUUAUAUGAAUUCAGAUUCCUCAAUGCCAUAGAAUGACAGCUUUGGAAAAAAGCAGGGUCUAAAAACCCAAGCCAUUGAUUGGGGAAAUAAGGAAAAAAGCGAUCAAAACGAAAUGAGACCCAAAAAAAGAAGAAGCUGGAAGGCUGCAUUUUUGGGGAACAACAGAACGUAUAUAUGGAGCCAAAGGGAAUAAUUACAAUAUGCGAAACAAGAACAAACGACUUUGUAAAUAUAUACGCAUAUACUCACUCAGACUGUUAAUAUCGCAGCUAGCUAACCUAUAGCUACAACUCGUUUGUACUAUUUGAAAAUCAACAUAUCAACCUCAUUUGAUUGAAAUUGGAUUUCUCAUCUUUCUCGUUCUUGUGGGAAUAUCCUUCCUAUAUGUUGUUAAUUAUUUACAUUCACAAGGCUGCUAGGCUAAGAUUAUUACGAUCACACCCAAAGUUAAACAGAGAAAAAACAAUAUUCUCCACAUUAAAUCAUAACUUCCGUGGCCCUGGGAUGGGUAGCCUCCCCUCCUUUUAAACUUUUCAGCAACCACAAAUCAUAACUUCCACUUCUUACCGCAAAAAAACCACUGUAAUUUCCCAUUUAUUCAACUAUUUGGAUUCUAAGCAUGAAGAGCGUUUAAGAGAUUUUCAACAUGGAAUGGAAUCAUACGCAUGGAUAGGCGAGGCUCUGUUUGUUAGAUUUCAAAGAGAUGGGUCAGCGACCCGCUACUAACAACAUUGAUAUUGUCCCUAAUUUAACCAUCUACAAAGCCCAAAAGGUAUAAGGUUUUAUCUUAAGAGACCUCAGUAAUAUUAAUACAAUUACAAUUUUCCCUAAUAAGAAUGGUACAAUUACAGAUUUUCCCUAAUAAGAAUUUGAAAACAACGAUGUACAAAUAUUUUCUAAGUAAUUAUAUUUAAAUUAGAUUAAUAGCAAUUUAAAAAAUGAAAAUUGUUUUACUAAAUAGGAACUAUUAGAAAUUACAAAAGGUAGAGAUAGAGAUAAGCUAUAACUUUAUCAGGAAAUGCUAGUCUUAUCACAUUUAUAUACAACAUUCUCAUAUCACUUUAUGUGGCACAUAAAGUGAACAGUCGCAUUAAUUAAAAAAUAUCAAUAAAUUAUAAAAGAAAAGAAAAGAUUAAAUUUAAUUUAAUUAAUGUGACUAUUCAUAUCAUCUGCCAUAUAAAGUGAUAUAAGAAUAUAAUAUACAAAUGUAAUAAGAAUAACAUUAUUUUUUUAUCAAAUGUAUUAGUAAUAAUAAAUUGUUUAUCGACGUGACCAUUUUAUCCUUUUAUCCCUAACAAUUUGUGAUAAUCAAAUGUCUUUUUGAAUUUUUUUUUUUUUUUAAAUGUAUGAAAUGAAGCAAUUCUUCUAUCAAACAACUGUUGAUGGACAUGACGUAAAGUGCAUCAGAAAAGCUUUGCUUGCAAGGGGCCUAGCAUUCCUGUCCCUCUAUACACUUCACACUUGAAACUUCACACCAGUGACGUCUCUCUAACCUUUUUUUUUUCUUUACUUGCUUUUUAUUCUUACGCUUUUGUGACGGAUUCGCGUACUAUUAUCCUCCUUCACUCUAAACCCUAACCCUAACCCUAUACCUACCUAUAAAACCGUAACUCCAAACCAAACCCUAACCAUCAACCCCAGGUUGUAGUGUCAAUGUAUCAACCCCAGGUUGUAGUGUCAAUGUUCAGAGGCUGGCUCAGUACUUUCUGUAGCUCCCUCCUGAAAACUCCAGGACAAAUUUAAAAAAAAUAAAUCCCAAAUUGAUUUGUCUUUAGCUUCCUGCCUGAGAAUGAGUUUGAAAUGCCAAUCAAUCUCUAUAUCUUAAAUGGGUUGAUUUACUGCGUACGGGAUAUCUAUGCGGAGAUUUAGGACCCACUGGUUCAAACCAUCAUCUAGUGUCCUCCGUUGAAAAUUAUUUCCCCAACUCUUUUGUCUAAUCUGGCCAGAUUCCGGGAAUUCACUUCUCUUUCCCUUUUAAAGGGGGGCCCCUUGUUAAAUUGUUAGCUACCUUACAUUUAUUUAGAGGUGUAAAAUGAGAAAAAUAAGAUGAACAUUGAGCAAAAGGAAAAUAUAUCAGCUGCGGGAGAGUCGAGCUUAAGCUUGCAUUCCCUUACAAAAAGGUUGGUAGGGUAAGUAUAAUUGAUUCAUCCAAAUCCAAAACAAAUAUGUACGAUAAUGCACCGUUAACUGUUAAUUAACAAAUAAAUGGAUUGAAGUACAAAAAAAUGUGUUGAGAAAAAUAAGAAGGGAAUGGACAAUGGGUACAAGGAAACAACGUGUUGGAUUGGAUGGAGGUAUUAUUAAGUGGAGUGGAGACAAUUUGUUCUCCAUUGAUUGGAGCAAUUUUUUUCUGCGGAUUUCGCAGGAUUGGAGCGAUGGAGCUCCAUUGGAACAUAGAGCUACCAACUUUAAUAGGAGAGAGAAAAUUGGAACCGAGAUCACAAUAUGUAGAGAGAGAGAGAGAGAGAGAGAGAGAUUUGAGGAAGAGACAUUCGGACUGUCCCACUAGCUUUACCAGCUUUAUUUUUAGCUGCAGCAAACCUACUUUUUUUUUCUUUCUCCAUGCCAAAUAAUUACAGAUUAGAUGCUAUGACUCUGACUAAUAAUUAAUGGGAUGGAGAGAUUUUAUUCAUGUAUAUAUAUACUGCUUAGUAAAAAGAUUUUGUCAGUUUAUUUUUCGCUUGACCCAAAUCCAAGAAAACUGAAAAAGCUUUCUUUUCUUCAGACGGUCUCGUGGACAUGCCGUUGUAUUUUCUGUGUGGAAAAUACUUGUUUGUAGAGUAUUUGUAUCUACAAAGCAAAUCUGGCAAAUACAAGGAUGGAUAUAGGAUGCAUGAUGUUGAUAACUUAUUAAGAGAAUCGAUGCCAACGAAAUGGCAUUACCAUUACGUAACGUACAAUAAACCCAAGUUUAACUAAUAAUAAUCAAAAUAUAAUAAAGUACCACAUGAGCUGAUGAUGUGCAAGCCCUUUUGUCAUUAUAAUUAUCCAGUUGACUGCUUUUAAUUGAAGUUGAAAAUUACUAUAUGAAUCCAGUAUCUAACGAUUAAUGCUUCCUCCUACAAGUCAAAUUGUGAUUUGAAUCAAUGUAAAAGGAAUGAUUGGUUUGAAUUUGAUGUAAGUACCAACACCAAACCUUCCUUUAUAAGAACAAGUGUCCAAGUAUGGAGAAAAGAUAAAUAGCAAACAUAUAUUCUUGACGCAUUUGAGUGUCCGAUAGGGAUGAGUACAGGUGACAAUUGCACAUGACAAAAAUGAAAUAAGUAUGAUAAGACUAAUAUUCUUUAUUAAAUAUUACUGUAUUUAAUUGAUGAUUAUGAACAUUGUGAAUGUGAUGGAUAUUGGGCUGGGGCUGCCGUUGGUGUUGGGGCGUAGCCGCGUAGUAGAGAAAGAGAAGAGAAGAUAAGGGAAGAAGAGGACAAGGAACAGAGUGCGAAUAUUAAAUGAGUGGACAGAUUGCAAUCAAGCUCCAGUAGUAAACAAGAAAAAGCAGCAAAGGGGGUACUGUAGAGAGAGAGAGAGAGAGAGAGAGAGAGAGAGAGAGUAGCUAGGUAGUAGCAGUAGUGAUUCCAAUUUCCAUGCCCCAAAAAAACCUAUGUCUCUCUCUCUCUUCCUCUCUCUCUCUCUCUCUCUCUCUCCAUCCAUCAAAGUUGAAAGUUGAAAGUUGAAAGAAAGAAAGACAUACUAUUAGCCAUUUAUUUAGGGGUGUGUGUGUCCAGCCGGUUUAGCUCUUCCUCGAUUUGAUCGAUCGUUGGCUGUCUAUCUCUCUCAUAAUUCUUUGCCAGUAAUGGCUGUGCAGCACUGCCACUGCAAGAAAAGGGGGUGAGAGUUUUCAUCGGGAAGGUAAAGCUUUGCAUCACACGACACACAGAGAGAGAAGAGAGAGAGAAAGAAGAGAGAGAUACAUAUAUUCACAUGACCACUAUCUAAUACCCUAUCUAUUAUCUAUCAUCAAUAAAUAUAUAUGAAAUGAAACCGGCUGAGUUUCGAGUUUGAGUGAAUUACCACCUCCGCCCUUUCUUUUUCCACCCCCGCGUGCGGAUUCUGCGUAUGAAUAAAUGACUCUCACAGUCAUUCACUUGUGUUUGUGUACAACAAUACCAAUACCCCCCCAAAUAUUGUAUAUAAGUAAGAAGAUCAGAAGUCUGAACUGAAGCCAGCAGUUGUCAAAAGAACAAAACAAAGAAAGAGAAAGUACUGUUUGUGUGAGUUAAUGCAUGUGUAGAGAGAGAUAAAACCAAGGCAUUUUCCAAAGGAAAUCUGAGCAGGCUUUUCUGGCAGACCCCAGCAAAUGGAGAAAAACAAACGCUACAUUAACUGACCCACUCUCCACCACUAUCACUCUCACUAACUUAGGAUUUCCCUGUUAAAAGCCUGCUCAAAGUUUGUAGCAUAAAACCCGGGAGAGCCCUCCCUUCCCCUUCUCCCCUUCUCCUUCCCUUCCCUUGGAGAGAUCAGAUCCAUUCAUGCACAUGUGCAUGUACACACCACCCCCCCCCUUUUCUUUAGCUACCUAGAUCGAC